AGGACGAACGCUGGCGGCGUGCCUAACACAUGCAAGUCGAGCGGGGUUGAAGCGAGGGGUAACUCGGACUUCUACCUAGCGGCGGACGGGUGAGUAACGCGUGGGCAACCUGCCUCAAGGUUUGGGAUAACAGCUCGAAAGGGCUGCUAAUACCGGAUAUGCCUGUGGCCUCGCAUGGGGCUAUGAGCAAAGGGGAAACCCGCCUUGAGAUGGGCCCGCGUCCCAUCAGCUAGUUGGUGAGGUGAAGGCUCACCAAGGCGACGACGGGUAGCCGGCCUGAGAGGGUGACCGGCCACACUGGGACUGAGACACGGCCCAGACUCCUACGGGGGGCAGCAGUGGGGGAUCUUGCACAAUGGGCGAAAGCCUGAUGCAGCGACGCCGCGUGAGCGAAGAAGGCCUUCGGGUUGUAAAGCUCUGUCUGGAGGGACGAAACAAAUGACGGUACCUCCGGAGGAAGCCACGGCUAACUACGUG
rnacentral:rRNA from 1 species